UGGGCUUGACAUGUGCGGAAUCCUGCAGAGAUGCGGGAGUGCCCUUCGGGGA
rnacentral:rRNA from 1 species